rnacentral:rRNA from 1 species
AUUGAACGCUGGCGGCAGGCCUAACACAUGCAAGUCGAGCGAGCGGCGGACGGGUGAGUAAUGUAUGGGGAUCUGCCCGAUGGAGGGGGAUAACUCCUGUAAACGGUGGUUAAAACAGCAUACUCUCGGAUGAACCCAUAUGGGAUUAGCUAGUAGGUGGGGUAAAGGCUCUCCUCGGCGACGAUCUCUAGCUGGUCUGAGAGGAUGAUAAGCCACACUGGGACUGAGACACGGCCCAGACUCCUACGGGAGGCAGCAGUGGGGAAUAUUGCACAAUGGGCGAAAGCCUGAUGCAGCCAUGCCGCGUGUAUGAAGAAGGCCUUAGGGUUGUAAAGUACUUUCAGCGAGGAGGCGUUACCCGCAGAAGAAGCACCGGCUAACUCCGUGCCAGCAGCCGCGGUAAUUC